rnacentral:rRNA from 1 species
UGGGCAACCUGCCCUCAGCUUUGGGAUAACUCCCGGGAAACGGGAGCUAAUACCGAAUAUUGAUGCGAGUCCGCAUGGACAUGUAUCGAAAGUUUUUCGGCUGGGGAUGGGCCCGCGGCCUAUCAGCUUGUUGGUGGGGUGAUGGCCUACCAAGGCGACGACGGGUAGCCGGCCUGAGAGGGCGACCGGCCACACUGGAACUGAGACACGGUCCAGACCUCCGUACGGGA